GAUGAACGCUGGCGGCGUGCUUAACACAUGCAAGUCGAACGAGAAAUGGAGACGGACACCUUCGGGCGGAAGGCUUCAUUUCGAGUGGCGGACGGGUGAGUAACGCGUGGGUAACCUGCCUCAUCCAGGGGGAUAACAGUUGGAAACGACUGUUAAUACCGCAUAAGACCACAGCACCGCAUGGUGCGGGGGUAAAAACUCCGGUGGUAUGAGAUGGACCCGCGUUCGAUUAGCCAGUUGGCGGGGUAACGGCCCACCAAAGCGACGAUCGAUAGCCGAUCUGAGAGGAUGACCGGCCACAUUGGGACUGAGACACGGCACAGACUCCUACGGGAGGCAGCAGUGGGGAAUAGUGCACAAUGGGGGAAACCCUGAUGCAGCGACGCCGCGUGAGUGAAGAAGUACUUCGGUAUGUAAAGCUCUAUCAGCAGGGAAGAAAAUGACGGUACCUGAGUAAGAAGCCCCGGCUAACUACGUG
rnacentral:rRNA from 1 species